UGGAAGCAUAUUAAUAAUUGGACCUCUGAGC
rnacentral:piRNA from 1 species